AGAGUUUGAUCAUGGCUCAGGAUGAACGCUAGCGGCAGGCUUAAUACAUGCAAGUCGAGGGGCAUCAAGGUACACGAAAGUGUAUUGUUGGCGACCGGCGGACGGGUGAGUAAUAGGUAGGUAACCUACCUCAUACUGAGGCAUAGCUGGGAGAAAUUCCAGGUAAUUCCUCAUGAGGUUAUAUGACACAUGUGAUAUAAUCAAAGGUAUCGCAAGGUACUGGUAUGAGAUGGGCUUACUGACCAUUAGCUAGUUGGUGAGAUAAGAGCUCACCAAGGCGAAGAUGGUUAGGGGUUUUGAGAGAGAGAUCCCCCACAUUGGAACUGAGAUACGGUCCAGACUCCUACGGGAGGCAGCAGUAGGGAAUAUUGGGCAAUGGGCGGAAGCCUGACCCAGCCAUGCCGCGUGAAGGAAGACGGCCUUAUGGGUUGUAAACUUCUUUACUAUGCGACUAACUAGAUUUACGAGAUAAUUCUAUAGAAUGUAGCAUAGCAAAAAGCACCGGCUAACUCCGUGCCAGCAGCCGCGGUAAUACGGAGGGUGCGAGCGUUAUUCGGAAUUACUGGGUUUAAAGGGUGCGUAGGCGGCUAAGUAAGUUGUCAUUGAAAGGCUACAGCUCAACUGUAGUAGUGGUGGCGAUACUGCUUAGCUAAGAACAUGGGAGGGGUACUUGGAAUGUGUGGUGUAGCGGUGAAAUGCGUAGAUAUCACACAGAACACCAGAGGCGAAGGCGGAGUACUAGACCAUAGUUGACGCUGAGGCACGAAAGCGUGGGGAUCAAACAGGAUUAGAUACCCUGGUAGUCCACGCCCUAAACGAUGAUCACUAGAUAUUGGCGACAAACAGUCAGUGUCCAAGCGAAAGUGAUAAGUGAUCCACCUGGGGACUACGGCCGCAAGGUUAAACUCAAAGGAAUUGACGGGGCCCGCACAAGC
rnacentral:rRNA from 1 species